rnacentral:rRNA from 1 species
AUGGGCGCAAGCCUGAUGCAGCGACGCCGCGUGAGGGAUGACGGCCUUCGGGUUGUAAACCUCUUUCAGUACCGACGAAGCGCAAGUGACGGUAGGUACAGAAGAAGCACCGGCCAACUACGUGCCAGCAGCCGCGGUAAUACGUAGGGUGCGAGCGUUGUCCGGAAUUACUGGGCGUAAAGAGCUCGUAGGCGGUUUGUCGCGUCGUCUGUGAAAACCCGCAGCUCAACUGCGGGCUUGCAGGCGAUACGGGCAGACUUGAGUACUGCAGGGGAGACUGGAAUUCCUGGUGUAGCGGUGAAAUGCGCAGAUAUCAGGAGGAACACCGGUGGCGAAGGCGGGUCUCUGGGCAGUAACUGACGCUGAGGAGCGAAAGCGUGGGUAGCGAACAGGAUUAGAUACCCUGGUAGUCCACGCCGUAAACGGUGGGCGCUAGGUGUGGGUUUCCUUCCACGGGAUCCGUGCCGUAGCUAACGCAUUAAGCGCCCCGCCUGGGGAGUACGGCCG